rnacentral:lncRNA from 1 species
GCAGCAAUCAGAGCAGCUUCAUUGCAAACAUUAGCAAUGUCGGCUCCAGCAAAUCCUGGAGUAAGGGCUGCAAGUCUUUGUGAAAAAUAUGAAGGCUCAUGGUCAAGUUUAAUCUUUUUCAAGUAUAUCUGAAAUAUCUGGUCACGACCUUUAAUAUCAGGUUUAUCAAUGGAAAUCUGGCGAUCAAAUCUCCCAGGUCUAAGUAGGGCUUUGUCUAAUAUAUCAGGUCUAUUUGUUCCAGCCAGCACAACAACUCCAGUAGUUGUUCCAAAACCAUCCAUCUCCACCAACAAUUGAUUUAAAGUAUUUUCACGCUCAUUAUUUGCUGCAGAGUAAGAGAAACCUCCACGUCCCCUUGCUCGACCAAUUGCAUCAAUCUCAUCAAUAAAUAUUAUACUGGGAGCACACUGCCUUGCUUCCUGAAACAAGUUUCUCACCCUAGAUGCCCCGACACCAACAAAAAUUUCCGUGAAAUCAGAACCAGAUAUAGGAAAAAAUGGUACAGCAGACUCUCCUGCAGUUGCUUUUGCUAAAAGGGUUUUUCCUGUGCCUGGAGGACCGACCAGAAGAGCACCUUUUGGAAUUUUUGCACCAAGUUCUUCAUAUUUUUUUGGGUUCUUGAGGAAGUGGACAAACUCCAUAAUUUCUUGCUUUGCCUCAUCACACCCCGCAACAUCUUUGAAAUAGACCUUACCAAAUGAAUAAUAUAAAUAAUGAAAAAUAUAGUCUCUUUAAUGAACUUAUUAAUUACCAAUUGGAAAGAGAAAACUAUAAUCCGAAAGGCAAUGAUGGCAACUAUGGAGCAAGCUCUUAAACACAAUAACCAACAUAGAAAAAUAAGAAAGCAACUGACCUUGUUUUUGGCACUUUUAUCUACUUUAGAAACAUGGGCAACACGAAACCCAUUUAGUCUUCCUACCCUAUAAAGAAAAGAUGCCGAAAGCAACAGUGUUGAAGCGAGUGUCACCAACCCCAUGACCCAAACCAUAUCAGAAGAAUAUGUAACAGGUACAUAAUCAUGAUGGUCAAUGCCUAGUGCUUCUUGUGCUUCCUUUAACUUCGCCUCAAAAGACUCAAUACUUCCAAUAUUGAAAAAAUAUUUGUAUUGGCCUCUAGAUCCCUCUGAAGUUAGGUUCCCUUGGACCAUUUCAUGGGGAGAGCUCCUUACAUAAAUUUUGGCAACUAAUUUUAUUUUUGAGACAACAAUAUGGUCAACUAAUCCUGGUUCCAAUAGUUUAUAUCGGAACUCCUUAAAGCUAACCUGCAAAGAGUCAAAUUCUAGUCCAAGUCAGCAAGAUGAUGACAAAGAAAAAGAAACCAAAAAUAUCCAGCACAACACAGAAGAAAGGUAUCCCAUUGCCAAAAGACAUGUGAUUGGAAUUAGAUUUACAUCCCAAUUAUCAUACAAAGAUACCCAGAGAACGAAUAAGAUAUAAAGAAAUGUCAAGCAAUCUUCAAAACUCAAGCUAGGCUAAGACUUGAAUCAGAUGCUAGAAAUCAGUGAGAUAUAAAAAUCUCAGAUAUAUCCUAAUAACAACCUUUUUAAUGGAGCUUCAACUAAAGCGGUCAAUGACAGCAGCAUAAAGCUUAACUGACAGAUAUACACACAUUUUCAACAACAAAAUCGAAGUCAACAGUGGAUUUAAUCAAAUAAAUAUUUAUCGAGUAAAGUAUGAGUCGAAAUUUAUCCAUUAAUGCAGCUUCGUGUAAAAGUUAAUGAAAAGGAAGGAAAAGGACUCCAGUUAUAUACAAAAGAAGGAAAUAAAUCAUAAGAGUUACCCAAGUAAGCACUAGAGGAGAUAUUAAACAAAUAAAGUGCACCAGCCAUGGCAGGAUCCAGAGAAGGGUCGAACCUGUUGUAAGUCUAAAAUAGACAGCCUUAACUUGCAGUUACAAAAUGCUAAUUUCAACAACUUCCACCGUUACACCAAAGCACCCCUAGGUUUAAGCGUAUUAUUAUAAUAAAUUAUGUAAGACUCAAAAAUAGGUUAACAUAAUCUCUUUUGUAUUAUUAUUCUUACCUCCUCGUCAGGACCAAAAGAGAAGGUCGCCAAAAAUAGCCCUAUCAGCAAUAAUACCAAUACUGAGACGAUUAAAAUCUUUCGAAAAUUUCCAUGAUCUGAAAUCCAAAGGAGAGUAAGUGUUAAAUGUUAGUCGUGGUCCCCUUUUAUCCUAAGAUCAACUGGGAAAACAUUCACACACUAGUUAAACAAGUAUUAGUCUGUUGUCUCCAAUACUUGAAUAUCAUGUAGUCAUGAAAAGGGCAUUCCUCUAUAUUACUCAUUAUAUCAGCUAUGACCACCAUUUUCAAAUAAUUUGCUAUGGCAGCUUCCUAGUUCAUAAGAAAAUAAGCACAUCCUUUUACCUUUAAGCUUGAAUAUUAGGUUGAUUCUCUUGAAAACUCCCUUGAAAGUUUCCUUGAAAAUACUCUUCUUUCCAUUUGGGACUUCCUUCUUCCCCUUAGGGGAGAGUUUCUCAGAAUCUGAAAUCCAAAUAAGAGUUCAAGUGUUAAAUAUUGGUAGUGGUCCGCCUUUUAUUCCAAGUAAAUACAUGAUUAAUUCCUAGACACACAAACAGACCAAAUUAAAUUAAAUCAUCGCAUGUUGAAAAAACAUUUUGCAUUGCAACACAUAUAAAAAAAAAUCCCCAAAACACAACAUGCACGAGUUAAACAAGUAUUAGUCCGUUGUGUCCUAUUCUUGAAUUUCAUGUAAGUGCAUUCCGGGUGGAAUGAAGGGUCAGGCGUCAGGGUUCAAACUCUGGUGAAGGAACUAAUUUACUAACAUUAGUAGUAACUAACAUUUGCCUAUAAUAAAAACUAAUCAGAAGUUCGGAACCUAGCUGAAGCACAACGCAGUGAUCAAGAAGCAAUGCGGAGAAUUGGAGUUUCGUUGCUAAGAGCAAUAGAAUUAGAAACAGUUUCCAGUUCAUCACGCUAGACAUAAAUUACGAACCAAAAAUAUAACCCUAACUUACUUUGCUUCUUCUUCGGAGCUUCGCUAGGGUUUGUAGAACCUACAUUGCAGGUGGAAGAGCGUGGAGGGGAACCCGGCUCCUGAGCCAUCGGCCGGUGGUGGCAGACGGCGGGUAGGAGAGAAAUCAGGAAAGUGAGAAUCAGAAUUUGAAGAAAAUGUGGUUCUUGAUUCUAAGAUGUUAGCAGAGAUAUUUGCAGAGUGAAUCAAUCACACGUUGAAUCUGCAUGAAAAGGCUUUGAAUUUUUGUGUUGAUUUAUACUACUGAUGGGUUUCUCUUCUAUACUUCGCUGGUCCAUCAUAUCACGCUGCUCCGUCCGUGAUUUUAUGCGUGUUUCUGGAACAGAGGGUCAGGGUGCGUGUAUCAUACGCAAACGGAGGAUAUUUACCUCUCAGCAAUGAAGAUUUUUUAAAAACUAAAUAAAUCCCUAAAUCUUCUUUUAACGAAAUUCCCUAAAUCUAUAGAUAGAUUAUUUAGAAUCCCUAAAUCUAUGUUCUAUUUUUUUCAUCUAUAUCUAUUUAUAUGCAUAUCUUAACUCUUAUAGAUAGCACCCUCUCUAUGUAAAAAAAAUGACAAUUAUGAAGCACGGACACCUCUCACAUAUGAAGUUUCCCGGUGUCGGAUACUGACACGACACUGACACCUCAUACGACACCAACACGACACGUGUCAGACACUUCUUCACAAUGUCAGAUUAAAAAAAUAUUGUUUUGCGGCUCGGACACUCGAGCCGCCACCUUUUCUUGGUUAGACAUACACUUAUAUUUAAAAAAAACAUAUAAUUUUUAGAAGUGAAGCAUGAAAAAAAUUACUAAUUUAUCACAUGAAGAAUCAAAGUCAAAGACAUUUACAAUGAUGAUGAUUAAUAAGGAAGUGAAAAAUCAGUAGAUAGAUUAGCUCUUUUAUAAAUAAGUUAGUCUUUUUACAAACAAAACAUCAAAACAAGUUUAUAAGCUUUAUGACAAAAGCUUCAUAAAAAUAUACCAAUGGGUCCCCGACCGUGUCUUGGUUUUUGAAUUUUAGUAAUGUCGCAAUUCCAGUGUCGUGUCAUGUCUGAUAUUCGUGCGUAUGUGCUUCAUAGGAUGACACCCUCCUAGUCUAUGUGGUCAUAUUUAAUCCACCUGCACCCCAUCUCAUUAGGCCCAUAAUUUUCCCUACUUGAUCAUCUUCUUCACUAGGGAGAACAUACCCUAACACCUGCCACCCUAAUUAGCUCUUUCACGGGCCACCAUUUCCCUCUUCUUCAUACCAUGCCCCCAACUCUUCAACUCCCCUUAGCUUUUAAAGCGUAUGAAAAUGAAUUUGGAAGUAAAAAAAAUUUCUUUUCUAUCAACGGUACUUAGAUAAAUAUCCAAUAUGUUGCCUAGCUGCACUUACAUUAGUGAGACCAAAAUUUCAAAGAAUAAUACUACAAUGCAAUCAAAUAAAUCUUGAAGAACAAAGCAUCAAGACUCAUGCUAAUACAAGUAGCUAAUAACCUAGCAACCCAACAGAGCCCCUAAAUUCUCAGGGCCAACAAUGAAUCAAGCUGACUAACUAAGCAAAAAUCUUUGAUCUUUUAUAACCAACAACUUUCUCUUUAGCAACUCACUCGACUCUGCCAAAAUUACGAUUUGUAUGCCUUCAUGGGAACCUACGUCAUGAUUAAAAAAAAAAACUCUUAAAAAGUGACUUAUAAAUCAGAACAUAGUGAGUAAGUCGGUGUGUUAGCAUGCAUCAUAACAUGUGUCAUUUUGUUUGAGUAUUUUUUGUUCAAAUAAUAUUGUCUUCUAAAAAACAAUGUGUUUAUAAAAAAGUAUUGCUAAUUUUUGCAUUAAGAAAAAAAUGUUAAUGUGCUAAGUAUUCAUAGAUCGCUUUACGCAGGCACCCAUUUCGGCUUAAGCUCCUCCUUGGCAAAGUCUGAGCCAAAAUCAUGGCCAAAUUUCAGGAAUUGGUCCAUUUAUGUGAACAUGGAUAACAAAACAUGUUGCUUGCUACAUCAAUGGUACUGUUUUCCACAUAACCACGUUAGCCAACACCGAGAUAUUGACAAAAAACCGAAAACAAGAUCAUGCCUAGAUGAACAAGUUCAUGCAUUAUCAUCCCACAGCUGUAUGAAAAUUUCCAUUUAACAGAUGUGAAAACCAAGAAUAUUAAACUUCCAUAGAUACUUAAUAUACAACACAUGGUAUGAGAAAAAUAAGAAACGAAUUUUAUUUACUUAGUAGUGAUAAUACAAUUUUUGUCCAUGUUAUCAAAUUAACAAAAACAAAAUAAUAGCUAAAACACAUAAACAAAAAGAUGUGUUUUUGCUAUCUAUUUCUACUUAAGCUGGGUGUAAUUUGCAUCACUGUUUGCAGACUACCUUCAAAUAUUUCCAAUGUCACUAUUCUAAAGCAUACCCCAUUAGAGUUUAAAUGAAAUUUUUAAUUUUAGCUAAAAAAGAUAUUCAUGUACACUUAAAAAAACAUGAACUUAUUCAUGUCAGGACUACCUGGGGAUCUAAAGGUGAAUCCCCACCACCCUUCUCAGGCCCAUUGACGGUGCUUUCUAUGAUUUUUUCGUCGUCCGCUUGGGGACCUUGCUUUGACCUAUCAUAACUGGUGUGUUCACUAGCCUGGAAGGGACGUUCCCCCAAAACUCGAACCAAGUCAUCUUGGUGAAGUACCUCUUUUUCAAGCAGCAACUCUGCAAUUUGAGCUACAUGUUCCUUGUGUUCCUCAAUUAGCUGUAUUGUACGUUCAUACGCUUUAUUCACCCAUUCUCGCACUUCACUAUCAAUGAUUGCAGCAGUUUUGCUGCUGUAUGGCUUCAACAUCUCAGAUGAGUCUUCUCUCUGAGGGAAAGAGAGGAGGCCCACUUUGUCACUGAAACCAUAGACUGCCACUUGAGCAUAAGUCAUCUUGGUCACUUUUUCCAAGUCGUCCUGUGCUCCUGUUGAGAUUCUCCCAAUGAGAACCUGCAGUAAAGAGGGAGGGAAACAAUCAUUUUCUCAUUUCUUGGCUUUGGAGGUGCUGAAGAAUCAGAUAAGAGAAAAACAUUAUACAAUAAAAUAAGGCAGUAAUAAGAUUUGUAAUUUAGAAAUAUAAUAAGGAAUGUACUUAAAUCUCUGCAUUAGAAUUCCGGCUGAGUCUUACUUUACCCCAAAAACAAGCUCAAGAGUGAGAAAUGCUCUAUCCUAUGUAGAGACUUAUUUAUUCAUAUCACUAGUCAAUGAGAGAUUUCUCAACACACCCCACACCAAGGGCUGGAAUUUAGGAGCGAGAAGUUUGCAAGACUGAACAUGGGUAGUUCAUUUAUGGGUGAUCUCCAAUAAAUAGAUCUAGGAUAGACUCUAAUACCAUACUCGAAUUCGGGCUAGACCUAACUUGACGCCAAAAGCUAAGGUCGAGGUGAGGAUUGCUCUACCACAUAUAUAAUGACUUAUUUAGCGAUAUCACUAGUCAAAGUGAAAAAGUCUGAAUCAUAAUAAACCCUUUCACUAGAAAGAUCAGCAAUUCAGCAUUACUCAUACAACAAAGUGCUAAUGAAAAAACAGGAGACGAAAACAGUAAGUAAACAAAACAGGAAAUGCUAGACAACCUGCUCUGCAGCCCGACCACCAAGGGUCAUACAAGUCAUAUCGAAAAGCUGCUCCUUUGUCAUGAGAAGGUUCUCACUCAGAACGUACUGCGCAAAUCCAAGAGCAGCUGUUCCACGAGGAACAAUAGUUACUUUCAACAAGGGUUCAGCAUAUUCCAAGAACCAACCAGCAACAGCAUGGCCUGACUCAUGGUAAGCGACAGUGCGCCUUUCCAGCUUGCUUAUUACCUUGAUAUGAAACAGGGUAUUAGAUAAAUUUCAACCAGUAACUGAAAAGAAAAAGCAAAGUGAGAGCUCCAAACUCAGUUCAAUACUUUCAAUUCAUUGCAUAUAACUAUGCCUAUAACGUGCAGAACUUUUAUAAACUUAAAUACCAAGCCCCACCCCACCCCUUUCCUAUGCCUUUCUAAAUAAUAAUAUAAAAACUUAAAAUGGCACACCUUGUUUUUCUUCUCCAAACCACCAAUAAUCCUAUCAAUAGCUGCCUCAAAGUGAUCCAUUGAGACUUGUGUUUUUUCACCUCUUGCAGCAAUUAGAGCAGCUUCAUUGCAAACAUUAGCAAUCUCUGCUCCAGCAAAUCCUGGAGUAAGGGCUGCAAGCCUUUCUGAAAAAUAUGAAGGCUCAUGGUCAAGUUUGAUCUUUUUCAAGUAGAUCUGAAAUAUCUGGUCACGACCUUUGAUGUCAGGUUUAUCAAUUGUUAUCUUGCGGUCAAAUCGCCCAGGUCUAAGUAGGGCUUUGUCUAAUAUAUCAGGUCUAUUUGUUCCUGCCAGCACAACAACUCCAACUGUGGUUCCAAAACCAUCCAUCUCCACCAGCAAUUGAUUUAAAGUACUUUCGCGCUCAUCAUUUGCCCCAGAGGAACCUCCACGUCCCCUUGCACGACCAAUCGCAUCAAUCUCAUCAAUAAAUAUAAUACAGGGAGCACACUUCUUUGCUUUCUGAAACAAGCUUCUCACCCUAGAUGGUCCGACACCAGUAAACAUUUCCGUGAAAUCAGAACCAGAUAUAGAAAGAAAUGGCACACCAGACUCCCCGGCAGUUGCUUUUGCUAAAAGGGUUUUCCCUGUGCCGGGAGGACCAACCAGAAGAGCACCUUUUGGAAUUUUCGCACCAAGUUCUUCAUAUUUUUUUGGGUUCUUUAGGAAGUGGACAAACUCCAUAAUUUCUUGCUUUGCCUCAUCACAGCCCGCAACAUCUUUGAAAUAGACCUGGCCAAAUGAAUAUAAAUAAUAAAAAAUAUAGUCUCUUAAAUGAACUUAUUACAAGUUAUUCACCCAUACUACAUAUACUCCCUGAAAGAGAAAACUACAAUGAGAAAGUGGGAAAGGCAAUGAUGGCAACUAUGGAGCAAGUUCUUAAACACAAUAACCAUCAUAGACAAAUAAGAAAGCUACUGACCUUGAUUUUGGCAUUUUUGUCUACUUUAGUAAUAUUGGCACCACCAAAUCCAUGUAGUCUUCUCACCAGAUAUACGAAAGAUACUGAAACCAACAAUUCUGGAGCCAAUCGCAUUAACUCCAGGUACCAAACGAUUUCAGAAGAAUAUGUAACAGGUACAUAAUCAUGAUGGUCAAUGCCUAGUUCCUCUUGUGCUUCCUUUAACUUCUUCUCAAAAGACUCAAUACUUCCAAUAUUGAAAUAAUAUUUGUAUUGACCUCCAGAUCCCUUUGGAGAGAAUGUCCCUUGGACUACUUCAUUGUCAGUUUGAUCACGGGGAGAGCUCCGUACAUAUAUUUCGGCAACUAAGUUCUUUGAGACAACAAUGUGGUCUACUAACCCUGGUUCCAAUAGUUUAUUUCUAAACUCCUGAAAGCUAAUCUGCAAAGAAUCGAAUUCUGUUCCAAGUCAGCAAGAUGAUGGCAUUGAAAAAGAAACCAAAAAUAUCCAAACACAGAAGAAAGGUAUCACAUUGCCAAAAGGCAUGUGAUCAGAUUCACAUCCCAAUUAUCAUACAAAGAUACCCUCAGAAUAAAUAUAAUAUAGAGAAAUGUAAAGCAAUGGUCAAAACUCAAGCUAGUUUAAGACUACCAGAUGCUAGAAAUCAGUGGGAUAUAAAAAUCUCAAAUAUAUCCUAAUAACAACUUUUUUUAUGGAUCUUCAACAAAAGCAGUAGAUGACAGCAGCAUAAAGCUUAACUCAAAGACAUACACAUUUUAAACCACAAAUAAAAGUCAAUAGUGACUUAAGCCAAAUAAAAAUGAAAAGAGUAACGCAUGAGUUUAAAUUUAUCCAUAAAUGCAGCUUCACGAAAAAGCUAAUGAAAGGGAGGGAAAAGACUCAAGUUAUAUACAAACACCUAUGGAUACAGAGGGAAAAGACUCAAGUUAUAUACAAACACCUAUGGAUACAGACGAGCAAGAAGGAAAGAAAUCACAAGAGUUACCCAAGUAAGCAAUAGACAAAAUACUAAACAAACAAAGCACACCAGCCAUGGCAGGCUCCAGGGAAGAGCUGAACCUGUUGUGAGUCUAAAAUAGGCAGCCUUAACUUGCAUUUACAAAGUGCUAAUUUCAAAAAAAUCAGCCGUUAUACCAAAGCUCCCCUAGGUCUAAGCCAGUGCAGUAUUAUUAUAAAUUAUAUAAGACUCAAAUCCAGUUUAACAUAAUCUCUUUUGUACUACCAAUUUCCGCAUUCAUCAUGGCAGCACAAGGUUCACUUCUCAUGCAUUUGAAAUCAUAUCUCAAGUUCUCAACUCAACCCAACUUCACCCACAUAAAAAAAAAUUAAAACAAUUUGCCUGGUAAUUCACUUUAAGUUAUUCUUACCUCCUUGUCAGGACCAAAAGAAAAAGGCACAAAAAAUAGCCCUAUCACCAAUAAUGAGGCUAUCACCAAUACUGAGACAGUUAAAACCUUUCGAGAAUUUCCAUGAUCUGAAAUCAAAAGGAGAGUUCAAGUGUUAAACUUUGCUAGUGGUUCCCUUUUAUUUCAAGAUAAACUAGAAAAUAGAUACAUGAUUAAUUCCUAGACACAGAAACACACCAAAUUAAUUAAGCUGAGAAAACAUAUUAGUCAUUAUAUGACCUAUGACCACCAUUUUCAAAUAAUUUGCAAUGGAGCUUCCUAGUUGAUAAGAAAAUAAGCACAUCCCUAUACCUUUAAAGUUGAAUAUUUGAUCAAUUCUCUUGAAAAUACCAUUGUUUCCAUUUGGGACUUCCUUCUUCCCCUUGGUGGAGAGCUUCUCAGAAUCUGCGAAAAAAUGGUAAUACUAAUCAGAACGCUAGCUGAAGCACAACACAAGCCAAACAAAGGGGAGAAUCGGAGUUCAGUUGCUAAGAGCAAUUGAAUCAGAAACAGUUUCCAUUUCAUAAAAAACAUAACCCUAACUUACUUUGCUUCAUCGAAGGGCACGGAGGGGAACCCGGCUGCUCAGCCAUCAGCUGUCGCACGUUAGGCGGAGACGGCGGCGAUGAGAGAAAUCAGGAAAGUGAGAAUCUGAAUUUUAACCCUAAUCUGAAUUUUUUACUUUGCUUCAUCAUGAUUUUAACAGAAUCAAAUGAUGUUGAAUGCGCAUGACAAGGGUUUGAAUAGGAAAUUGAGUUUGGUGCCCCACCCCUUAGGCUUUGCACCCCACUUUAUUAAAUAUGGAAUUUAAAGUUCCGUAUCAAUACGGAAAAUAAAAUUCCGUAUCUGUUUUAGUAUAUAAUGAGUGGUUGAAAAUGUGACACGCAUGCUUAAAUACAGUACGGAAUUUUAAGUUCCGUAUUCAAUAGGGAGAAUACGGAAUUUUAAAUUCCGUAUUUGAUAAAGUGGGGUGCCAAGCCCCAUAGGUGGGGUGUCAAACCCAACUCCCGUUUGAAUAAUUGAGCUAUCCUCACUAAUGUUAAAGCUGUCCAGAGACUGACACGUGUUUCCGCGUGCUGUUGUUUUUUCCCGCCCAUUUCCCCAACCGUCCGAUUUUUCUCAUCUAGUAUGGAUUGAACCGAUGAAACAAAUGAACCAAUGAACCAAACUAAAUCAAUUAAGUUGGUUUUGAUUUUAUAAUGCUCGGAUCCCAGCUAACCAAUGCAAAACUAAAAAUGAUCUGUUCGAUUUACAGUUUGAAAACUUGGAAACUAAUAAACCAAACCGAGCAUGUGUAAUUAACAAUUCUUAAUAAAUAUAUAAAAACAUGCAUAUUUAUUAAUUAUGAAUUUGUUAUGGUGCUUGUGGAUUUAUUUUUUGUAUUUGACCGACUUAAUAAGGAGUAUUAUGUAUUUACAUGGCUAUAUACUGCUGGUUACAUAUAUAUUGCCUUCAUUCUUAAUUAAUUGCUUAUCGAAAAGAGAAAAACCACACAUAUUAAGGAGUGAAAUCAAUUUUAUUAAUUUUUAUAAAAAUAUUAUUUUUUCCUAUUCUACCUUUUAAAAUGUAAUUUAUAUUCCCUAAUUUAUUGUUCCCACAAUUACAUUAGUUGGAAAAACAACAUUUAACGUUCUCUUAACAUUAUAAGUGAACAUAUAUAUAGAAUAAUUUUUUUCCACCUUUGAGGGGCAUCUCAGAUCAGACACUUUUAGAUAGUGUCUCAUAUCUAAUGUCAUUCAAUACCUAACACGUUAAUCUUUCUUUUCAUGUCAGCCAGUGUUUUUUUUUUGGCUUAAUUGUAACUUUGAUCUCUAACGUUUACUAAAGCCACGAUUUUAGUACCCAACCUAAUUUAAUUACAUAAAUAGUCCCUGACGUUAUAUGUUGUUUGCAACAUUGGUCCGACCGUCUAUUUUUUAACAGAAGAAGCUUAAGUAGCGUCUGAAAGCUUACAUGACACUAACACAUGCCUCUUCAUCUCAGAAAAAAAUAAUAAUAAUAAUAAUUCAAACCCAGAAAGGUGAUUAAUUCUUCUUCUCAUCUCCCUGUUCAUCAUCUUCAUCUUCUUCAAACCUAACCCAUUUUUUUUAAAAAAAAUUAUUCAUUAUCAUCUUCAAACCUAACCCUCUGCAGAUCUGAUGCCACAAUCCCCAACCCCAUCUCCACCCAUCACCACCCUUCCCUUCCUCCACCUCCUUGUAAAGCCACAACACUGGUUCAAGAAUAGAGCCAGAGAAAAAGAAGCAAAAGAAAACAGAAACAUUCAUCAUGUGUUCUUCAAUCUCUACUGGUUUCAUCUGGGUUUCCAGAUCUGGAUUGGGUAGAGAAGGUAGCAACUUGAAUCUAGUGAUUCUAGUUUCAAGUGUGAUUUAGGGAUUUCAGAAAAGAUGAAGAUGAAUGGAUCCCUAGGGUGUCAGAUUUGGGGAAAAUGGGCUAAAAGGAGAGUCAUGUGACUCCUAUGUGCCUCCCUCUUUCUCUCUAGUGGCACUUCCACAUAAGCUUUUAGAUGCCAAAUAAGCUGUUUCUGUUAAAAAAUAGACGGUCGAACUAACGUUGCAAACAACAUGCAACGUCAGGGACCAUUCUUAUAAUUAAAUUUGGUUGAGGACUAAAAUUAUGGUUUUGGUGAACAUCAAGGACUAAAGUUGCAAUUAAGCCUUUUUUUUGUUUUUCGUUUCAACUAAUGGCGUCUCAUUUGAGACGCCAUCCAAACAGGUAUCCAGAUCUCCCACAUGGCAUAAACUACCCCACGGGGUGAAUUGCUUCCGAAAUGCAACUUUUUUGGUAAAAAGUUAUUUUUUAAAUUUUUAGAUAAAAACCAAGGAUAAGUUCAAAUCAAGCAACAUUGACUCAACGAGUAUUUGUCACUUGCAUGCUCGAUCACUCUAAGCCAUUGUCGGUGUUCUCUAACCAUACUCUGCUAGUAAGUAGUAACGCAUACAAAUACAAGUAUGAGCUACGAAAUGUUUUCAAAAACUAAGGUACAAAUAUACUUAGUGGGGGUAUUUCUAAACUACUCCCACCAAUAGAGUAUCAUAACAUUCAACACCUUUUAUUUUACACUUUAUAUGCUUAUUAGAAUCUUAGAAAGGAAGGAAGUUGAGGGAAGAGUUCUAAUUGGAAAAUAGCGUUUUCCAUGUGCGUUGGAUCAACACGACUACAAGAGGAAUGUUGGAAAAAGAAAAAAACAAUUGGAGCAGUAAAUAAUUCUUAUGCGCUUGUGUAAGAAAACUGUUUGUGUUGUGCUUCCCUCUUUUAUCCUUAUUAUAUAUGUGAAUGCUUAGAUGCCUCUUCAAAAUGGGGGACAUUGGUGCCCCUUUUUUUUUACCUGCUAUAACUUGUUUCAACAUGCCAUUUUUUUUUUGUAAAUGUAUAUUUCAACAUUUCUUCCGUUUAUAAUGUUAAUAACCUCACUGCCUAACACAUUUCUUCUGAGUUUUGUAAGACGAUUCAAAAAAAGUUGGACGUGGCAGAUACCCAAAAUGCCACUUACAAUGUGUAACUUUGAACAUAAAUCGAAUUAUGAUUAUUUUAUUUUUAACAAUAAUAAAUUAAAAGGUAUAAUAUAUAUUAUGAUCAUAAAAUUUUAAUUAUAAUUUGAAAAUUAGAUUACAAAUAAUAUGUAAUUUAAAAAUUGAAAUUUUAAAUUUAGAAUAUUAUAGGAAUUACAAUUAUAAUAGAAAUUAAUUUAAAAUGGGAAAUACUCAAUAGUUCAAGAUGAAAAUAGGAAACCAACGAUCACUUUACUUUUCAUUUAUAUUAUUUCACCUUGAACUCUUUUCUUUAUAUUUUUGUCCUCUCGUUUACACUAUACAUCUAAACCGAGCAUUAGAUAAAAAUACCGAACCUUUCAUUUUUGUGCACCCACUGCUUCUCUCAUACCUGUGGUACCCUACAAACAAGCCAGGCUCCUCUGAAGGGAAGAUUAUGUUCAUGCAAUGCAAUGGAGUGCACAUUACCAUGGGCUCGAUCAAACCCGAAGACAAAAUCAUUUGACAGUUGCAGCAACAAAAUCAGAAAACUCAAACUCGUCAUUCUAUGAAGAGGCUACUUUGGUUCCAAAAUUUGGAUAGGUUAUUUUGCAACAUAGGAUAUAAGAAAAGAGAAAUCAGAAAUAAAUUGUAUUUAUUAGCAGUUAUCGUACAAGUUUUGUCCAUGUUAUCAAUUCACAAAAACAUGAUAUUCAUGUACACUAUAAAUCAAAACGGGAACUUAUUCAACUAUGUGGGAACUACCUGAGGAUCAAAAGGUGAAUCCCCACCACCCUCUUCAGCCACAUCGACCAUGCUUUCUAUGUUUUUUGUCUCGUCCUCUUGGAAACCUUGCUUAAAGGUAUCAUAAUUGGUGGGUUCACUGGCCUUGAAGGGACGCUCACCCAAAACUCGACGCAAGUCAUCUUGGUGAAGUACUUCUUUUUCCAGCAGCAACUCUGCAAUUUGAGCUACCUGCUCCUUGUGUUCCUCAAUUAAAUUUACUGUAUGGUCAUAUGCUUUCUUCACCAAUUUUCUCACUUCCCUAUCAAUCAAUGCAGCAGUUUCGCUGCUAUAUGGCUUCGACCCAAAUGAGUCUUCUUUCUGAGGGAAAGAUAGGAGGCCCACUUCCUCAUUGAAACCUAGGACACCCACUUGUUUAUAACUCCAGUCUGUCACUUUUUCCAAGUCGUUCUGUGCUCCUGUUGAGAUUUGCCCUAUGAGAACCUGCAGUAACAAGGGAGGGAAACAAUCAUUUUCUCAGAUUUGAAUUGGAGAAAAACAUUAUACAAUAAAACAAGGCAGUAAUAAGAUUUGAAUUUGAAAAAUAUAAUAAGUAAUGUACAGUGUCUGAAUUAGAAAUCAGGCUAAGCCCAAGUUUACCCCAGAAACUAGCUCAGGGAUGAGAAAUGCUCUAUCUAUAUAAAUAAUUAUUUAGUCAUAUCACUAGUUAAUGUGGGACUCCUCAACACACCCUCACCCCCGAGCUGAAAAUCUGGAGCAUGAAAUUUUCAGGACUGGCCAUGGGUAGUCGUAGCCCAUUUAUGGGUGAUCUUCAAUAAACAGAUUUAGGAUAGGCUCUAAUGCCAUAUUCGAUUUUCGGGCUAGAUCUAACUCUAGCCCAAAAGCUAAGCUCGAGGUGAGGAUUUCUCUACCAUAUAUAAGGACUUAUUUAGUUAUAUCACUAAUCAAUGUGAGACUAGUCAAAAGUCUGAAACAUGUUACACCCUUUCACUAGAAUAUCAACAUUAGUCAUACAGCAAAGAGCUAAUGAAAAAAGGAGAGAAAAACAGUAAGUAAACAAAAUUGGAAAUGCUAAACAACCUGCUCUGCAGCCCGACCACCAAGGGUCAUACAAGUCAUAUCAAACAUCUGCUCCUUUGUCAAGAGAAGGUUCUCAUUUGGAACGUACUGCGCAAAUCCAAGAGCAGCAGUUCCACGAGGAACAAUAGUUACUUUCAACAAGGGAUCAGCAUGUUCCAAGAACCAACCUGCAACAGCAUGGCCUGACUCAUGGUAAGCGACAGUACGCCUUUCCAGCUUGCUUAUUACCUUGAUAAGAAACAAGUUAUUAGAGAAACUUUUAACCAGUAACUGAAAAAAAAAAUACAAAGUGAGAGCUCCAAACUUGGUUCAAUACUUUCAAUUCAAUGUAGCAUAUAAUCUUCAUCAUCAUGAAGCCUUAAAAUGCAACAACAGCCAAAGAACAACUAUCUUUGCGAAUUAGAUAUACAAAUAAACUAGAAGAUCUGGGGUAUAAGGGACGGUCUACUCAGGGACAUUUUCAUUCUCCAUCGUAAGUAACCAAUACCAUGUGGAACAAUAUUUAUUAAAAUAAAUAAACUAUAUUCUCUGCUAAAGCUUCAUUUUACUCACAAUGAUGAUGAAAGGAAAGUAAUAUGGGAAAAAUGAAGGCUACAACUAUGCCUAUAAUGUGCAGCUACCCUGCCCCUUUCCUAUAGGCUAGAUCUUUCUAAAUAAUAAUAUAAAAACUAAAAAUGGCAUACCUUGUUCUUCUUCUCCAAACCACCAAUAAUCCUAUCAAUAGCUGCCUCAAAAUGGUCCAUUGUGACUUGUGUUUUGUCACCUCUUGCAGCAAUCAGAGCAGCUUCAUUGCAAACAUUAGCAAUGUCGGCUCCAGCAAAUCCUGGAGUAAGGGCUGCAAGUCUUUGUGAAAAAUAUGAAGGCUCAUGGUCAAGUUUAAUCUUUUUCAAGUAUAUCUGAAAUAUCUGGUCACGACCUUUAAUAUCAGGUUUAUCAAUUGAAAUCUGGCGAUCAAAUCGCCCAGGUCUAAGUAGGGCACUGUCUAAUAUAUCAGGUCUAUUUGUUCCUGCCAGCACAACAACUCCAGCUGUGGUUCCAAAACCAUCCAUCUCGACCAACAAUUGAUUUAAAGUACUUUCGCGCUCAUCAUUUGCUCCAGAGAAACCUCCACGUCCCCUUGCUCGACCAAUCGCAUCAAUC